UGGAACAAUGUAGGUAAGGGAAGUCGGCAAAAUGGAUCCGUAACUUCGGGAAAAGGAUUGGCUCUGAGGGUUGGGCUUAGGGGUCUGCGGCUUGACCCUGUAGGCUGCUGGCGGUCUGCCCGAGCUGCUUGCGCGGCGAGGGCGGGCCCCGGCGUGCCGACCUGGUGACGGACGCAGAACGCCCCUCCCCGCGGGGGGCAUUCCCUAGGCAUCGAACAACCGACUCAGAACUGGAACGGAAAAGGGGGUGCACUCUUGUUCAUGGGCCCUUUCCCUCUAUAUUUGAACCCCAACGGAUCGUCUCUCGAGUCAUUCCCUUUGGUUGCUUACAAUCCA
rnacentral:ncRNA from 1 species